rnacentral:rRNA from 1 species
GACGAACGCUGGCGGCGUGCUUAACACAUGCAAGUCGAACGGAGUGGCGAAAGGGUGAGUAACACGUGGGUGAUCUGCCUUGCACUUCGGGAUAAGAUUGGGAAACUGGGUCUAAUACCGGAUAGUGCAAGAUUAGCUCGCGGCCUAUCAGCUUGUUGGUGGGGUAAUGGCCUACCAAGUCGGCGACGGGUAGCCGGCCUGGGAGGGUGUACGGCCACAUUGCUACUAAGAGACGGCCGAGACGCCUACGGGAGGCAGCGGUGGGAAAUAUUGCACAAUGGGCGGAAGCCUGAUGCAGCGACGCCGGGUGGGGGAUGAAGGCUUUCGGGUUUUAAACUCCUUUCGACAGGGACGCGGUACCUGUAUAAGAAGCACCGGCUAACUACGUGCCAGCAGCCGCGGUAAUUC